CUUUGUUGCCCAGGUUAGUCUUGAACUGCUGGCUUCAAGCGAUCCUCCCUCUUCAGCCUCUCCAAGUGCUGGGAUUACAGGUGUGAGCCACCUGUAAUCAAAGUGGAAAUAAUUUUAAACUUGUAAAAGGUUGUAAAAAAUUUGCAAUGUUCUACAAAAGCUUGGAAAAAUGAUAAUCUUAUAAAAUUAGAUUAACUAAUUAUUAACAUUUUAUCGCAUUUAUUAUAUUAUUUGUUCUCUUUCUCUCUCUCUGUCUGUCCAUACACACAGUUCUUUUUCUGAAAGUAAGUUUCACGCAUCAUGUCCUUUAUCCCUAAAGAUUUUAGUGUGUAUUUGUGUAUAAAUAUUUAUAUAUAUUUGUGUAUUUUCUGAAAGUAAGUUUCACACAUCAAAGUCCUUUACCCCUAAUCAUUUUAGUGUGUAUUUGUUCUCUCUCUCUUUCUCUGUCUCUCUGUACACACAAUUCUUUUUCUGAAGUAAGUUUCACAAACAUUUUGGUGUUUAUUUUCUAAGAAUAUGGAUUUUUAUCUUAUACAAUCAAUUUGAGUUAUCUUCAUAAAUGAAUAUUGAUAACAUAUUUGCAUCUAAUCUAUCAUCCAUGCUUCAGAUUUGUCAGUUGAUCUAAUGAUGCUCUUCAGAGCAUUGUUUUUCUUUCAGUGUAAGAUUCAGUCUAGUUGCAGAUACUGCAUUUUAUUGUCAGGUGUCUACAGCCUUCUUUUAUCUGGAACAUUUUCAUGACCUUUCUGUGAUUUUUAUAACCUUGCAAUUUUGAAGAACACAAACCUCCACCUUUUUAAUAUAAUGUUCCUCAUUUUGUGUCUGUCUGAUGUUUCCUCAUGAUCAGGUUGAGCCUCUGCAUUCUGAUUUAGAAUACUGCACGGGCGAUGUUGUGACCAUCUCAGGGUGCCACAUUUGGGGCUACACCAUGUCCAUCUAUUCCUCUUUGGUGAUGUUAAUUUGAUCACCCAAUCAAGGUGUAACCCCAUUUCUCCACUGUGUAAUGACUGUUUUAUUUUUUGGUUGCAACUAACAAGCAUUCUGUGAUGGAUGGUUCAAGACCAUCUCAGCAUCCAGCUGCAGACCCACUUUUGACUCUGGUAAAAUAGCUGGCCACCUGUGUACGUGAUUUCAGGAGCACAAGAAAGACACAAAACUUCCAGAAAAAUAUAUAUCCCCUCCAUUUUUAACAUACCAUUGGAUGGUCAUUCCAAUAAUUUUGUCUUCUACUAACAUGUGUAUAUUCCUGAUUUUUAAAAAAUCAUGUGCUUUAUGUAUGUAAAAUACAUGUGCUUUGUAUUUUACAUAAGUUAUUGUUAUUUCACUUCUUCAACAAAUAUUCGUUGAUUGCCUCCCAUGUGUCAAACACCACUCUGGACACUGAGAAGGUAGCAUUAAAGACACAGAGGUCCUAAACUUAGGAGUUUACAUUCUAGAUAAGGUGUAAGUGAAAAGUAGGAGUUACCAUGCCUGAGUGACGAUGCAGGACUUAAGCUCAAGGUCAAGUGACUGGCCAGGUCACUUGCAUGUGAAAGGCUAGGCCCUGCUUGCCCACUGCAGCAUACUGCCUUUUCAUGCUGUAGACCAGGGGCAACGCUGAGUCCUGUCAUGCUUUCAAGCCUUAGUGGUGUCUGAUUCCAUCAAACCUUUUCUUCAGAGCAGAUCUUGGCAGAAGAAAAGCCAUGAUACUUCUGUGUGCAUGAGCAAUGCUUCCAGUAAUGUGAAAGAGGAUGGAAGGAACAAGGGAGGGGUAUAUACUAGAUACAGACUGAGCCCAGUUCAUAGUUUUAUCUAGGUCUAGUUUGCAUCCUAUUUUUUAAUUUCAUAGCAAUAUAUGCACUGAUUUGCUAACUCCCCAAUUCCAGUGGCUAUUAGGAAUUGCUACUGUUAUUAAGCAUUUUGGUGGCUUGGAAAGGAAUGUUUAAAUUACCUUAAUAUCAGUCCAAGACUAUUUUAUAUAGAGCUUCCUCCCAUUUUCCCAUCAGCAAAGGUGAACUAUAUCUUUGCAGUCAGUUCUAGAUUUUCAAAAUUGAUUUCUGUUUAUUGAUCUCCUCUUUAUUUCUCCUGUUGUUUGCGUUUCUCAUUGCAUAGCACAAAUACUUAGGAUUCUCACUUGAAAUGGGACCUGACUCAGUGCCUGGCACGCAGUCAGUAGUUAGUGAGGAUUCCUGGAAGGGCGGGAAGAAGAAAGGGAAAGAGAUAGGAAAUUAGAUGAUAAGGAUUAGGGUUUGGUAAGCGAAAUUUCAUUGUACUGCUUAUUUGAUGUACAGAUCUCUGGGUCUUAACUAAUAGCUGCAAACACUCCAUUGUUUAGGUAAAGUGUAUAUUAUGUUCUUCUAAAUUCAUUUCCUUGUGCUUGUCUAAAUUGAAAACCAUCUGAUACUUUUCCACAGGCUCAUAAAGCUUCAUGGGUUCUUCCUGAAGUUUAGCCAUGCUUGCUACCAUUAUAUUAUGUGGAAAAGACUAUAUCCUCCUAAAGUAGGAAACUUGACUUCCAAGUCAUAUAUCAAUCAUUCGGUCAGUUGGGCCAGCCCAGCUUCCCUCUAAUGAUGAGUCUGUUUUUUCCAUCAGCCAAGGCCAUUAAGCUGGUAGGCAUUGAGCUGCAGCUCUGCACAGGAGCUGUGCUCAGUGCUGUGAGGGCCUCCUAGCCAGCUACUGCACAAUUGCCUCCAGAAUGAACUUUCUGCUCUAACUGGGCAGAUUGUAUUACUCCUCUGUACUCACAGAAUAUACCAGGUCCAACCUUACUUAGCACCUUUAUUUUAGCAUGCUACUUAAAAUGAGUUUGAACUUUCACUCUGAGUUUUAAAAAGGUAUAUACACCUGUGUCCAUAAUUUUGGGAGUCCCUAGAAGAUAGAAAACCUCAAGAAAAAAAAGAGAUACUUUUAUUCUGUCUCCAACUUACACUGUUUUGUUCUAUUUUAAUGUAGGUUCUUUUUUUUUCUUUUUUUGGUUGAAAGAGGAGUAUUUGGUAUAAGGAAUUCUCACUCCUUGUCUUCCUUCUCUAGAGCAAUUCUCUGUCCUUGGCAGACACGUCUCUAUGAUUUUAAAAAGCUGAUAUAAAAAGGAAGUCACAAGGAAAAGAAAAGAAAGUAGGAAAUUCAUAGGGCUAGUGAUAAGGAUUCUGCAGAGCUAAAAUAUGAUCCUUACUUACGAUUUAGCUAUUUUGAUAUUCUUUCUUCUGUCUCAUUCAAGCAGAAAGUAACACCUUUCAGUGUAGUCCUGUAUUAAUUUAUUUAGCUAGUAUUUGUUGAGUGCCUGUGCUAGAUUCAGCCUUGUUUUUGUGUAGAGGACUGGAAGAUGAAGGCUAUGAAGUUGUCCUCACUUUAAAGAUUUUUUUUUUUUAUUGUGGGGUAAAGAAGAUUUAGAUGUUGAAAAAUUUAGAGAAGAACAUAGGAUGGUCUGCAGUCCUGAGCUUGUUUUAGGUGCUCAGGGACACUGGGGAAGGAGUAGAGUUUAAGGAGAGGAAAGUAAACUGAGACUUUGGGCAUUUUGGGGUUUGGCCCUGCAGCCAGGAGGCUGUGUUAAGCAAGACAACGUGGCUUUAGGGAAUCAGCUCAGUGUGGGAGCCACGUGGAAAGAGGAGGCCAGGAUUAUGAAGCCGUUUGUCAUUGGUGGCACAUCAUGUGAUCUGACUUUAAACAUGCUUUAGAUGACUGCCCACAUCAAGUGUGGGUGGAGAAUUGCAAAUUGCAUGGCUUAUACAUAAAUAACAUUGAAUGGGGAAGGGCCUUGGAGUCGAUAGAACACACUAGAGGAAAGAAUUGCUUAUAGAAUGAAUCACACCUGAAGUUACUUGUUAGCAGUUCUAGCAAAGCCAUUUACUUGAGUAAGGACAUUAGUGACAUUUUAUUCUAAAAAUACGGUUUUCCCUUGGAUUUGUGUCAAAGGUGGGAAGAUUUUUAAAUAGCACUCCUCAGCAAUGAAUAGGAACAGGUAUCUUAAAUGUAUAAUAAUUUGGUGGCCUGUAUGAAGGUGUUUAUAUGAGCUAAUGCCCAAGUGUUUAUUAGGGAGGAUCAGGGGCGUCUUGACUACCCUCUAAAGAAGGCAGGUCUGGGUAAGAAACUAGAGUGUGUCCCUUGUGGGCCCCUUGUUUCUGUGUGUCUCUUUCAUGCCGGUUUUACAGGAUUUUGCUCUCAGCCACUGUUCUUCAACUUUUUCACUGUCUCUCUGGACCAUCUGGCCACCCUCACGGACUCAGGCACCCCAUAAAUAAUAAUGACUUUGAAACCUGUAGCUGAUGCCCUAAGUUCUCCCUUGUACCCCAUCAUUCCCACUGGAAAUCAUGAUGUCAUCUUGACUUUUCUCCACGACCAGUUAUAAAUCCUGCACAAUUUAUGACAGAAAAAAUUCCUAAUUUUUUCACUUAACCAGUAGUUGCCAAAGCAAUCUGAUGUUGAACUGACAACAUAUUUGCUCAGUUAAUUUGGGGUCCAGAUGUGUAUUCAUUGAAAGCUCCCAAUGUGAUUCUGCAUAUUUAGGGAGUACUACCUUAAACCAUUUCUAAAAACCAUAGUUAAAAUGAGAAUGGUAACCAGCAGGCAGCUUUAUAACCUAACAAAGUAAGCUGACAUCCACAGAUGUUUUGGAGUGAAUUCUUUGCUCUGGGAAAUUCUUUAUCUUGGUUUGUGCAACACUUAGAUGUAUUUUUCUAUGAAUACAACUGCAUGUUUUCAGAACAUAUGAGUAUUGUCUACUUAGCUACUGAACACACUAA